GAGCUGUGAUGAAUCUUGUGUCUCAUGUGAUGAUUUAGGGUCUAUCACUAUCGUCCGAUCCUUCCGACGAAAAUAGUCACAUCUGAGCUC
rfam:Corchorus capsularis cultivar CVL-1 contig09956, whole genome shotgun sequence.